AGCAGCCCAGGGAGCCUCGGAAAGAUGCCCCGAGCAAGCCUUACGGAGGAAUGCUGAUAUGUGGGAACUGACAAAGAAGCAUGAGAGAGCCGAUGUUCACCUCUUAAACCUGAUGAAAUUUGCUGGUGAAUCACAGGCUGCAAAAUACAACUGAGCAAGUUAAAUUCCACUUCCCUUGAACACGGAAGCCAGCAGUGCAUUUGUCACAUGGUCACAUCAGCAGACCACAACAACAAGAGCAAUCACCUGGUGAAACAAUCCACACAGAGAUUUGGAAGGAAAAUUUCUUUCAGGUUCAGAUGAG
rnacentral:lncRNA from 1 species